UACGGGGGGGGCAAGCGUUGUUCGGAAUUACUGGGCGUAAGGGGCUCGUAGGCGGCCAACUAAGUCAGACGUGAAAUCCCUCGGCUUAACCGGGGAACUGCAUCUGAUACUGGAUGGCUUGAGAUUGGGAGAGGGAUGCGGAAUUCCAGGUGUAGCGGUGAAAUGCGUAGAUAUCUGGAGGAACACCGGUGGCGAAGGCGGCAUCCUGGACCAACACUGACGCUGAGGAGCGAAAGCGUGGGGAGCGAACAGG
rnacentral:rRNA from 1 species